ensembl:lncRNA
CACUGCCUGACCUUUUACGCGCACUCUCCAAAUUCUUUUCGCUCUUGGGCGUGAAGCUUGCUGGAUCUUAGUUCCUUGAUGAAGUAUUGAACCUGUGCCCUUGGCAGUGAAAGUGUGGAGUCCUAACCACUGAACCACCAGAGAAUUUACUGUAUGUCUUCUUAUUAAGGUCAAGAAGCAACAGUUAGAACUGGACAUGGAACAACAGACUGGUUCCAAAUCGGGAAAGGAGUACGUCAAGGCUGUAUAUUGUCACCCUGCUUAUUUAACUUAUAUGCAGAGUACAUCAUGAGAAAUGCCAGACUGGAUGAAGCACAAGCUAGAAUCAAGAUUGCCAGGUGAAACAUCAAGAACCUCAGAUAUGCAGAUGAUACCACACUUAUGGCUGAAAGCAAAGAACGAAGGAGCCUCUUGAUGAAAGUGAAAGAGGAUAGUGAAAAAAGUUGGCUUAAAACUCAACAUUCAGAAAACUAAGAUCAUGGCAUUCGGUCCUAUCACUUCAUGGCAAAUAGAUGAGGAAACAAAGGAAACAUUGACAGACUGUUUUUUUGGGGCUCCAAAAUCACUGCAGAUGGUGACUGCAGCCAUGAAAUUAAAAGAUGCUUGCUCCUUGAAAGAAA